CCUACGGGUGGCUGCAGUGAGGAAUAUUGGUCAAUGGACGAGAGUCUGAACCAGCCAAGUAGCGUGAAGGAUGACUGCCCUAUGGGUUGUAAACUUCUUUUAUAAAGGAAUAAAACGAGGCACGUGUGCCUUUUUGCAUGUACUUUAUGAAUAAGGAUCGGCUAACUCCGUGCCAGCAGCCGCGGUAAUACGGAGGAUUCGAGCGUUAUCCGGAUUUAUUGGGUUUAAAGGGAGCGUAGAUGGGUUGUUAAGUCAGUUGUGAAAGUUUGGGGCUCAAACUUAAAAUUGCAAUUGAUACUGGCAGUCUUGAGUGCGGUUGAGGUAGGCGGAAUGCGUGGUGUAGCGGUGAAAUGCUUAGAUAUCACGAAGAACUCCGAUUGCGAAGGCAGCUUACUAGACUACCACUGACACUGAUGCGCGAAAGUGUGGGUAUCAAACAGGAUUAGAUACCCCUGUAGUC
rnacentral:rRNA from 1 species